rnacentral:rRNA from 1 species
AAAACGACUCUCAAUAAUAGAUAUCUCGACUCUCGCAUCGAUGAAGAACGUAGCUAAAUGUGAUACUUGGUGUGAAUUACAGAAUCCCGUGAACCAUCGAGUCUUUGAACAUAAGUUGCGCCCGAAGCCGUCAGGCCGAGGGCACGUCUACUUGGGCGUCAUGCAUCGCAUCGCCCCCC